UACGAAGGGGGCUAGCGUUGUUCGGAAUCACUGGGCGUAAAGCGCACGUAGGCGGAUCUUUAAGUCAGGGGUGAAAUCCCGAGGCUCAACCUCGGAACUGCCUUUGAUACUGGGGAUCGUCGAGUCCGGGAGAGGGUGAGUGGAACUGCGAGUGUAGAGGUGAAAUUCGUAGAUAUUCGCAAGAACACCAGUGGCGAAGGCGGAGCU
rnacentral:rRNA from 1 species